rnacentral:sRNA from 2 species
AAAAGAGCAUUCUAGGGUUCCGCAUAAAUCUUAUGGUCUGGUCCGAGAGAAGGCACAUAGAUGAUCUAUGGACACGGAGGGAGAAAAGCCCGGGAGGU